rnacentral:rRNA from 1 species
CCUACGGGUAGCAGCAGUGGGGAAUAUUGGACAAUGGGCGAAAGCCUGAUCCAGCCAUGCCGCGUGUGUGAAGAAGGCCUUCGGGUUGUAAAGCACUUUCAGUGGGGAAGAAAGCCUUGGGGCUAAUACCCUCGAGGAAGGACAUCACCCACAGAAGAAGCACCGGCUAACUCCGUGCCAGCAGCCGCGGUAAUACGGAGGGUGCGAGCGUUAAUCGGAAUUACUGGGCGUAAAGCGCGCGUAGGCGGUCUGAUAAGCCGGUUGUGAAAGCCCCGGGCUCAACCUGGGAACGGCAUCCGGAACUGUCAGGCUAGAGUGCAGGAGAGGAAGGUAGAAUUCCCGGUGUAGCGGUGAAAUGCGUAGAGAUCGGGAGGAAUACCAGUGGCGAAGGCGGCCUUCUGGACUGACACUGACGCUGAGGUGCGAAAGCGUGGGUAGCAAACAGGAUUAGAUACCCUGUAGUC